CCAGCCGGGUCCGCCCUCCCUAGCCUCCCGGAACCCGCCCGGAAACGUGCAGUACCCCGCCCGGGCCGAGGGCGAGAGCAGGCCGGUGGGUGGAGCGCUUGGAGAGGCGGGAGAGCCCGGGUCCUGGGUUCCAGCCCGGGCCGCGAGCCCCGGGGCCUCUCUUUCCAUUCCGGGCGUUUUCAAACUUGGGAACCUGCCUUGAAGCCUGACUAAAUUGUCUGGGUUGGAGCUCAGGACGACUGGCCCAUGUCUUGCUCUGUGAAAUUACACAUGUCAUUUCUCACUUGUCCGUUCAAGAAACACUAUGGAGGACCUUCUGUCUGCUUGAGAUUUUGAAAUUAUGGAGCUGACACUUCAGAUUAGAAAAUAACAAAGAAGGAAGCCACCAAAUGGAAGCAUGGAAGGCUUUGCAGAAGAAUUGAUGUUUGAUAUGGGUUCUGACAGAUGAAAAGGAGCUCCCUGGGUGGUGUCAGUUCAUCUUCUAUAAGAUAAGGGACCUGGCUGCAUCUAGCCGUGUGAUCCGGAGCCUGGUGGAGGGCUGGGAAUGCUAGCAGCUCCUCUAACUCUUACUACUAUAAACCAGAGGAAUAGUUGAGACCUCUGCUUCUGGCUCUGAACACCAGCCUGGAUCAAACCAAACCUCCCACCUCAAACAAGCAGAACAGCUGGAUAAUUUAAAAAAUCUGUCUGACAGUAAGAACCUGAGAGGGCAAGAUCCUGGAGAGAAUGGAAACAUAGAAAGCACGUGGCUUCCACAGCAGACUGCCUUGCUGGGGAUGUGGAUGGAGUCGGGUGCAGCCAGGUGGGCCAACCUGGGUUCAGGCAUCUGACUGUGCCCUCUGAAUCCGGAGCAGCACAGCCGCCUCUCCGCUGGGCCCUGGACACUCAUCCACUGUCUCUGCAGUACCCACGGGCUCUUCACACGGAGGCGACUAAGAAAACAUUUCUCAGGGAGAACAGACUUGAAUGAACAAGGAACAUUAAACAAGUCUGGGAUACAUUCCUUCAGGGUUUCCAUAAAAAACAGAUCCGCACGUCCACAGCGAGUCAGUAUGGCCUGGCGCCUGGGAAGGGAGUCUUAUCAAAGGAGUAUGCACUGGCACCCCAGUAAGGUAGGCAUUUCAUCUUUAUUUUUAAUAUGGACAUUCUUUACUUCUGGUCAGUGCACCCUUUUCUUAAUAAUUAAAGCAGACGUACAACGUGUGUUUGAUAGGCCACAAACAGUCUGCUUUAGUUAGCAUACAGUUCAAGUUAAUUCAUGUAUAAGCCAGAAUGACUUCCCCUUUUCUCAAUAUGUGAACAUUUCUUCUAUCACUAGGAAGGAUGCUACACACACCAAGAAAUGUUACCCCAAAGUGGGGUUACCCAAAGUUUGCUCCUCUGACCACCUGUUAUGCGACUUACCUGAGCAGCCUUUUCAUUGGGUCCUUGGGCCCCACUCAAGACCUACUUAAUCAGAAAUGUGUCUUUUUAAUAGGUGCUCCAGAGGAUUCUUUUGCACUCCAGUAUUUGAGAAGUUCUGCUUUUCUAAAGGUGGAGCCUCAGUUAUCUCAUCUGUAAACUGGGAGUAAGAAGAACAACCUCCUUGGUUGCUUCGGACACCACGGGAAUGUGAGAAACCUUUGCAAGUCUUAAAAUGCGCAAAGGCUCUGCGCAUAUGUGCCCAUUUUAACCUUGAAUCCUGAAGUGUAUCUGGGGUGAUUUCCUUCCUCCAUUGGUGGAUCUGGAGGAAGACUCUCCUCCCCUCCAGAUCUGAACCUCUAUGUGCCUUGCGAGAGAAAAGUGCCUCUUGAAGGUCUGUGUGCAGUGAAACUUUGCACAGGCUUUGAGGGUUGCAGCAUGUCCCCACAAUCCCCUUUUCCAGAUUAAAUGUUUGCAUCUCUUGUUAUAUUAGGAAUUAGACCUGCUUCGUGAUCAUUGCACCUGAGUACCUGUAAAAUACAAAAAUACAGCAGUGGCUGGUGUCUACGAAUUGGCUGUUUUUGGUGUGUAUGCGUGCCUCCGUGUGUGUGUGUGUGUGUGUGUGUGUGUGUGUGUGUGUAAUAUAUAUUCAAGGCAGGCAAAACGGUUUACAUAUUCCCAACCCAUGUUAACAAGAUGUUCUUUCCUGAACAUAACAUGUUUCUGAAAAUUCCUGAAUCUUUCACUCUGAAACUCAACAAUAUUGUUAUUAAAAUGGUUCUGUUUAAAGAA